rnacentral:lncRNA from 1 species
GCGUUUGUAGAUGGAAGGAAGAACUUGUGUGCUUAGACCUGACGCUGGGAGGAGAUGCUGCCACCUAGGUUACUUGUAGGACCCUAUACGGCAACCUCCUUUGCCAGGAACUAUUUAUAAACAUCCUGCAGGAAAAUGGCCUCUUUAAAUAUACACUUCUCUGUAGUGUAUGCUAGAAAUGGAGUGGCUGGAAUAAAAGUGGCUGAAUCAUCUUCAACUCUAGUAGCUGAGACCAAUGAUGCUGACCUCCCUCAAAAGCUGCAUUUCUGAAUUUCUGAAGGCAAACUGUCUGCCUAUAUUGUACAGCAAAAUAAUUUCCUGUAUUAAAACGUUUUUAUUGCUCUAAAUUUCUAGAUUAAACUCUGCUUAGGUAUUGCUAAGAGGGUAGCCAAGUAUAGAAACUUAAAUUUACUGACAGAAAUCUAGAGAAUGCUUAAUUUUUUUUCCAGCAGUGAAGUAGAAGAGACAGGGAUAUCCCAGAAGGUUAUGCAAAACAUCAAGAGAAGAUGAGAGGGUAAGGUUUAUAGACUGAGUUAUUAGAAAAAUGCACAAUGGGGUUUGGGUUGCAUAAAAACAGGGUCUAUGGGUGUGUAUUUAUAAGUUCACACAUGCACACACAAACACACACAUAUAUGUACACACACAGGCAGCCCUCAACAUUCUCAUGAUUGGCUUUUGUACAUUAUUUUUUAAUUAUUAAUACCUCAAAAUGUGUUUAUAUAGAGAAAUUGAACUUUAGUGCAUCACAAAAGAGAAGAGACUUCAAUUUCUAGUUCAAGAAAUGAAUGAGAAAGA